UGAUGGAAUCAAUUAAAAAGAUUACAUGCUUCAAAAUCGAAAUAGAAACCUUCUGAUUCUAAAGCUGACCCAACCUGAACCGAAACCGAGCUACUAAAGACAGUGUGGAUGGUGGAGUAGUCACUGUCGCACCCUCUGUCAUGGAUGGAGAUCAGAGGACGUUCGCAAAAGAGAUGAACGUGUGGACCCAAUGACACACUCCAUCGCAUGGAGGAAUCCAGCCAUGCAACGCCGGUCAUGGUGAAAAAGGUGUUCGACCUCUAUCCUCAACUGGGAGGACGCAGUCAUGGAAACACAAAGAGGAACGGUAAUGGAUGAAUGCUCCCACGAAGUACUGCUCCUACCGCCACUGCUGCCUGGGAAUCUGGGGAUGCAUGCAACAGCCAGUUCAGAGCUAGCUAGCUAGCUAGCGGAUGAGGUGAUGGCCAUCAGCAUCCGUGAAGACAAGCAGCUCUGUUGGCUGUUGCUGCAAAGCUGUGGGGAGACAUGGGCCCGUCGUACGUCCCACACUCACAUGGUGUGCUGCUUCCCCUUCUCUCUUGGAUUAGGUGGGGGGGAUUUCUUCGCCCUCUGGAGCCUCCCUCCCUUCUCCUCCCAAGAGAGCUCACCGGAUGCUUACCAACAAAGCGUCGUCAGCUUAAUGGAGGAACCAAAAAGACCCAAACCUUCACGAUGUGCCGUGUCGCCUUCCACGACGCCGACAAAGAUCGCCACUGGAAGAUCCGACGCGAUGACACCGACAGAGGCCUAUUAAUUAACGCAUGUUAUGAUGUAAUGACGCUUGAAUCGUGACUAUAGCUAAAACCCGUGAGGAGGAAGCUACGUACAUGAUCCGUGAGCUGUAGAAUUGUGCUGCGCCUGCAGGACGAGGUACCAGAACUCCUCCUCCCUCUCUCGUUGGCAUUCUACCGAACAGAUCAUCGGCAACGAUCUAAUCCCCGUCCUCAUGAGAUCGUGCGACGCUUUUAGAAGACCAUGUUGGUGCCGCGCCAUGCUGGAAAUCAUUGUCCAUUUCGACCUCCCCUUCUCGGACGCGGACUGCUGCCCCAAUCUUUGUCUGUAGAGAGAGCGAGCGCGCGCGAGAGAGAAAGAGAGAGAGAGAGAGAGAGAAUUACCGGUCACCAACUAAAGUAAUGCUAAGGGGAACGAUUAAACAUAAUUAUAAUUAAUUAGCUUAAUAUGUGUAAGAAUUUACCAUUACGUCAGACAUUGGUUUCGCAUGUUUAACACAUUACAGACAUUGGACUCGGUCUCGGAUUCAAACAUCAAAUCGUGAUAAGCAUUCGAGCUGUGGUCGUGUAAGGCCACACACAGAGGUCAACGCCAUUCCGAAGUCCAACACCCCCAAUUUUGACCAUUACCGUAUGUCCAAACCCAAAUCAAACACGCACACACCGCCAAUUGGCCUCUCGAUUAGUCUAAUCUGAACCCACUAUUGCAACUGUCACAUCGACUUCCCCCCCUAAACA
rnacentral:lncRNA from 1 species